UUCCUCCUCUCCCAUCCACGCCGCCGCCAACCCUCUUCCCUCUUCCCUUCUCUCUUUUCCCCUUUUCUCUGUGAGCAAGCAACGAAGAAAACCUCACAGUACCGCACCUACCUCACCAUGGCGCCGCCACUGCAGACCAUCCCCUGCCGUUCCGAGGGCACCGGCGGAUGCGCCUCGUCGUCCUCUUCGUCUGGGUACAAGGAAUUGCUUCGGGAGGCCCUCAAUCGAGCACACGGUCGCCGAUUCCCCGCGAAGGCAGCCGCGCUCCGGCGAGAAUUCCGGCCGCCUCCAACCUCCACCGACCCUUUCGAGCACGUACACACAUUCCAGGAGCUCGACGCCGGUGAUGCUCCGGCGACCCCCUGGACUCCGCGCCGCCACCAUUGGCCUCCCCACAUUCAGCCGCAUCCCCGACGCCAGUUUCCCCGUCCUCGUUCGCCCUGAAUCGACGGAUUGAUGUCGGACCUGAUCUCCCUCCCUCCAUGGCUGCAACCCUCCAAGCUCGUCCCAGUAUUUGUUGGGUCAAGUUGCUGCACGCCUUUCCCUUGACAUGAUCUGAACUGCAGCGCAGUGAUACGUUGAUGGGCUUCAAACCCAGAUCCAUCUGGCCUUCUUCUCUCCGGUGCGGAUCAGAUCCAGCCCACCAGCACCCUGUCGCUCGCGCGGCCCGAAGCCAACCAUCGCUGCUGGUUUCCCCCCUUCUCUGUUUUAUUAUUUUUGAUUUGCAAAUCUUGUAAAAUCAAUAUCUCUUGAACCAUAAUUCGAAAUAAAACAUGUUAUAUAUGAAAAUUUAUCAGAAAAACAUGAGGAACAUGAAUAUGCCAUCCAUAUGCCUGUUUGCAUCUCGCAUCAUAUCACGCGUUGACAGUUUCGCAUUUCCACCUCACAUAUAUGCGGAGUAUUUCGGGAUUCCAAUUAGGUUUCCCCGCUCCGUUUAAUUUUGAAGUAGCCCACCCUUGCCAUGGCUAUGCCAUGCUAAUCAACAUUUAAUUUGUCGGUAGAGAUGCAACUCCAACCUAACUUGUUUGCCGGGGUUCCGACUCCGAUUAAAUUGGAUAAGUUGCAUUGCACCAUAUCUGCCAUGUCAUGCAUAUCAUCUUGAUCAUGCUGGAUCUUCUUUAUCCGUAGUAGUAAGACUUGCAUGCGUUGUGUGUUCCAGCAUUUGCUUCUUCCCGGAUAGGAUCACGAAGUGGUGAUGUGAGAUAUGACGAGUCCUCCGACAAGUUCUUCUGCAGCUUUUCACAGGCGAGCCCACCCCUUCACCUAUUUUACUUUUACAUGCUCUUUUGAUCUAUUGCUAUCCUUAUGUUGCGAUUCUGUUGUGUCACGUGUCCUAACCACCUGUUACCUAUAUGUCCGAGAUACACCUCCUCGCCCUACCUAUUGUUUGUUGUUUGCCAGCUUUGCGAGUCGUAGGCGAGUUUAGGGUCUUGUUGAUAUCU